GCGAACGGGUGAGUAACACGUGAGUAACCUGCCCUUGACUUUGGGAUAACUUCAGGAAACUGGGGCUAAUACCGGAUAGGAGCUCCUGCUGCAUGGUGGGGGUUGGAAAGUUUCGGCGGCUGGGGAUGGACUCGCGGCUUAUCAGCUUGUUGGUGGGGUAGUGGCUUACCAAGGCUUUGACGGGUAGCCGGCCUGAGAGGGUGACCGGCCACAUUGGGACUGAGAUACGGCCCAG
rnacentral:rRNA from 1 species